GUCUGGUUAAAUGUUGCGUGACUGGUUUUGAAGCUGGCACCUUGCAUGGAUUUUCAUGGAAGGGUACAGCGCCUGAGACCAAGUGAGAUUAACAACUGAAGAUGAAAAAUAAUUCCCUCUGUGUUGACUACAUAGAGCACCACAUUGCUACUAGGAAAUGCAAUUAGCAAGUGAAAAUGCCAGGAAGAUUUAUGGACUACUAUGGAGAAGGCUUAUACCUGAUCCUACCGUGAUGGGCCGAAUAGAAAAUCCUAAAAUAGAUUUAUGUAUUGACUGGGUAUCGUCCACACAUGUAUAACCGAUUGCUAAUCAGUCCCAUUUGGUUUUAAACACUGGACACAAUUUAUACUAUUAAAGUAUUUUACAACUA